rnacentral:rRNA from 1 species
GAUUAGAGUUUGAUCCUGGCUCAGAAUGAACGCUGGCGGCGUGCUUAACACAUGCAAGUCGGAUGUGCCUGGCAACAGGUGCAUGGCAGACGGGUGAGUAACACGUGGGGAACCUACCUUUUAGUGGGGAAUAACGUUCCGAAAGGAAUGGUAAUACCGCAUGAGACCCUGGACUGAGAUGUUCAGGGUGAAACCUGGGGACCGAAAGGCCUGGGGCUAGGAGAGGGACCUGCGUCUGAUUAGCUAGUUGGUGGGGUAAUGGCCUACCAAGGCAAUGAUCAGUAGCCGGCCUGAGAGGGUGAUCGGCCACACUGGAACUGAGACACGGUCCAGACUCCUACGGGAGGCAGCAGUGGGGAAUUUUGCGCAAUGGGCGAGAGCCUGACGCAGCAACGCCGCGCGGGUGAUGAAGGUCUUCGGAUUGUAAAACCCUGUCGUCGGGGACGAAGGUUGCGAGUUUAAGGGAUGCGCAGCUUGACGGACCCGAAGAGCCCGG